rnacentral:tRNA from 1 species
GUAGCUCAGUGGUAGAGCGCUUGCCUCGCAUGUAUGAGGCACUGGGUUCCAUCCUCAGC